rnacentral:rRNA from 1 species
CUACGGGGGGCUGCAGUGAGGAAUAUUGCACAAUGGGGGGAACCCUGAUGCAGCAACGCCGCGUGGAGGAUGACGCAUUUCGGUGUGUGAACUCCUUUUAUAUGUCAAGAAAAUGACGGUAGCAUAUGAAUAAGCACCGGCUAACUCCGUGCCAGCAGCCGCGGUAAUACGGAGGGUGCAAGCGUUACUCGGAAUCACUGGGCGUAAAGGACGCGUAGGCGGGUUGGAAAGUCAGGUGUGAAAUCCUACAGCUUAACUGUAGAACUGCACUUGAAACUUCUAAUCUAGAGUAUGGGAGGUGGAGAUGGAAUUAGUGGUGUAGGGGUAAAAUCCGUAGAUAUCACUAGGAAUACCUAAAGCGAAGGCGAUCUCCUGGAACAUUACUGACGCUAAGGCGUGAAAGCGUGGGGAGCAAACAGGAUUAGAUACCCGGGUAGUC